UGGGGAAUAUUGCACAAUGGGCGCAAGCCUGAUGCAGCCAUGCCGCGUGUAUGAAGAAGGCCUUCGGGUUGUAAAGUACUUUCAGUCGGGAGGAAGGUGGUAAGGUUAAUAACCUUAUCAAUUGACGUUACCGACAGAAGAAGCACCGGCUAACUCCGUGCCAGCAGCCGCGGUAAUACGGAGGGUGCAAGCGUUAAUCGGAAUUACUGGGCGUAAAGCGCACGCAGGCGGUCUGUCAAGUCGGAUGUGAAAUCCCCGGGCUCAACCUGGGAACGGCAUUCGAAACUAGCAGGCUAGAGUCUUGUAGAGGGGGGUAGAAUUCCAGGUGUAGCGGUGAAAUGCGUAGAGAUCUGGAGGAAUACCGGUGGCGAAGGCGGCCCCCUGGACAAAGACUGACGCUCAGGUGCGAAAGCGUGGGGAGCAAACAGG
rnacentral:rRNA from 1 species